UACGGGGGGAGCAAGCGUUGUUCGGAUUUACUGGGCGUAAAGGGCGCGUAGGCGGCCACCGCAAGUCAAUUGUGAAAUCUCCGGGCUUAACUCGAAAAGGUCAACUGAUACUGCGGGGCUAGAGUGCGGAAGGGGCAACUGGAAUUCUCGGUGUAGCGGUGAAAUGCGCAGAUAUCAGGAGGAACACCUAUUGCGAAGGCAGCUCGCUGGGACGUCACUGACGCUGAGACGCGAAAGCGUGGGGAGCAAACAGG
rnacentral:rRNA from 1 species